rnacentral:rRNA from 1 species
AUUGAACGCUAGCGGGAUGCUUUACACAUGCAAGUCGAACGAGUGGCGGACGGGUGAGUAAUAUAUCGGAACGUGCCCAGUAGCGGGGGAUAACUACUCGAAAGAGUGGGUAAUACCGCAUACUAUUGGAGCGGCCGAUUUCGGAUUAGCUAGUGGGUGGGGUAAAGGCUCACCAAGGCAACGAUCCGUAGCAGGUUUGAGAGGAAGACCAGCCACAUUGGGACUGAGACACGGCCCAGACUCCUACGGGAGGCAGCAGUGGGGAAUUUUGGACAAUGGGGGAAACCCUGAUCCAGCCAUCCCGCGUGUAUGAGAAGGCCUUCGGGUUGUAAAGUACUUUCGGCGGGGAAGCGUUAUCUGCAGAAUAAGCACCGGCUAACUACGUGCCAGCAGCCGCGGUAAUUC